rnacentral:rRNA from 1 species
AUGAGUAAGAAUGCACCAACUGAUCUAGAGAACACAACAGACAGAAGAAGGAACUACACAAUCAAGACAGGGUGUCAAGCUCAGAUGCUAGUUAUCUGGAAAGUUAAAAUUGGUCGGUGGGUAGUGACAAGGUUCAUAAUUAAGCACAAUCAUGAGUUUCAUCCGCCAGGCGAAGUAAGGUUCCUACGAUCACACUCAUACAAGACCGUAGAGGAGAAAGAAUUGAUCAAAACAUACAAAAGGGUCAACAUACCAACAAGAAAAAUAAUGGCAAUACUUGCAUUCUUACGAGGUAGAGGACUGACAUCAUUGCCUUACAUAGUAAAGCAAAUAAGCAAUAUGGGCACAAAGAUGAGAAGAGACUAUGGAGUGAAUGAUAUGAUGUAG